AAGGAAGGGCCUACUUGGGGUGUAAACUGAGCAGGUCUGCUUUUAAACACAGGUUAGGAGAAGCGCUGUUCCCAGCUGGCCCUCCCUCAGACAGGAAUAACUACCACUUCACACAGAAACGUGAGUACAGUUGAGAAUUAAUAGAAGAGCAGCACAUCAGGGCUCCCGAAUCACAGGUUGAAAACACAGCCGAAGGAAACCAGAUCUUUCCCUCCCAGAUGGCGAUAAGUUGCUGCUCAGACACCGCACAGAUCAACACCCGUCUCAUAUUUCAGGAGUCUUUGUUCAGUGUGUCUCUGGCUUUGUCUUCUGGGCAGCAAUCCAAUGGUCCUGGAGGGUGGGGCUCAGAGCGUCUUUAAAUACCUGUUGACAGAAUAUUGUGAAUAUUCAGGAAGACGAAGAUACAAAGAAGAUUAUCCACACUUGCAGAGGGUUCCUGCCAGCUCUGAGGGUGGUGGACUGUGAUUUCCAAGAUAGCCAUAGGCAUAGCUCUUCUGCAGAAUGACUUGCUGUUCCAUCAAGAAGUGGAGGCUUCUCUCGCUCCUAGGUAAUCCCAAGUAUUUUGCUGACCCCACGAAAUGUGGCAGAAGUGACAUUCUGGGGGGAGGGGGCAUGAGUGCUAAGAUUGAUGAGCUGGUAAAGGU